rnacentral:rRNA from 1 species
UACGUAGGGAGCAAGCGUUGUCCGGAUUUACUGGGUGUAAAGGGUGCGUAGGCGGCUUUGCAAGUCAGAAGUGAAAUCUAUGGGCUUAACCCAUAAACUGCUUUUGAAGCUGCAGGGCUUGAGUGAAGUAGAGGUAGGCGGAAUUCCCGGUGUAGCGGUGAAAUGCGUAGAGAUCGGGAGGAACACCAGUGGCGAAGGCGGCCUACUGGGCUUUAACUGACGCUGAGGCACGAAAGCAUGGGUAGCAAACAGG